rnacentral:rRNA from 1 species
GAUGAACGCUGGCGGCGUGCCUAAUACAUGCCAGUCGAGCGAACAGACGAGGAGCUUGCUCCUCUGACGUUAGCGGCGGACGGGUGAGUAACACGUGGAUAACCUACCUAUAAGACUGGGAUAACUUCGGGAAACCGGAGCUAAUACCGGGUAAUAUAUUGAACCGCAUGGUUCAAUAGUGAAAGACGGUUUUGCUGUCACUUAUAGAUGGAUCCGCGCCGCAUUAGCUAGUUGGUAAGGUAACGGCUUACCAAGGCGACGAUGCGUAGCCGACCUGAGAGGGUGAUCGGCCACACUGGAACUGAGACACGGUCCAGACUCCUACGGGAGGCAGCAGUAGGGAAUCUUCCGCAAUGGGCGAAAGCCUGACGGAGCAACGCCGCGUGAGUGAUGAAGGUCUUCGGAUCGUAAAACUCUGUUAUUAGGGAAGAACAAAUGUGUAAGUAACUAUGCACGUCUUGACGGUACCUAAUCAGAAAGCCACGGCUAACUACGUG